CGCGUGCUGGCAGGAGAAAAGAGAGUCUGAAGCUUUCGAGCUGGAAAACGUAUUAGAUAUAAGUUGCAACCAACUGUGCUACACAUAAGUUCGCUGAUUAUCAGCUACCUUCCAUGUUAAGAGUAGCCACAGUGAGUAAACAGGCGAAUGCUGCAGUUUUCUGGCGACUUUAGAAAGUACCACGUGGCGCUAAACUGUUAGCCUUUGUUAGCUCUGGUUGCUAUCAACUGCCUUAAAGUUCAUCUCAAUCUGCUUCCAGAAGUAAGAGCCCCGCAUUUUCCGACCGAGAGACACCAUACCAUUGUCUUCGGCCGUGAUGCACUGAGAUCGGUCAGGGUUUUUUUGUAUGCUGAAUUGUUCCUGAGGUGGAUUCCUCCGGUGAAAUAGAUGGCGAGCCUUCCCACCUGGACUUAGAGAGACUAAGAUUUGCUUCUUUUCCACUUGAUGAUCUGCUGCACCUUGCGGUGUGGUAGGACUGUAUCACUCACACUUUCACACACAGCUGGUUAUACAUAAGACCACUGACUGACAUUCUCUCACCCCUAUUUUCUUUCACACCCUGGGAAUUUUUUGGACUGUACCCCUUGGACAUUUU